GACGAACGCUGGCGGCGUGCUUAACACAUGCAAGUCGUACGGUAAGGCCCUUUCGGGGGUACACGAGUGGCGAACGGGUGAGUAACACGUGAGUAACCUGCCCACAACUUUGGGAUAACGCUAGGAAACUGGUGCAAAUACUGGAUCUGUGCUCCUGCUGCAUGGUGGGGGGUGGAAAGCUCCGGCGGUUGUGGAUGGACUCGCGGCCUAUCAGCCUGUUGGUGGGGUAGUGGCCUACCAAGGCGGCGACGGGUAGCCGGCCUGAGAGGGUGACCGGCCACAUUGGGACUGAGAUACGGCACAGACGCCUACGGGAGGCAGCAGGGGGGAAUAUUGCCCAAUGGGCGCAAGCCUGAUGCAGCAACGCCGCGUGCGGGAUGACGGCCUUCGGGUUGUAAACCGCUUUCAGCGGGGACGAAGCUUUUUGGGACGGUACCUGCAGAAGAGGCACCGGCUACCUACUG
rnacentral:rRNA from 1 species